rnacentral:tRNA from 1 species
UGGGGAGUGGUGCAACCGGCAGCACGCUCGAUUCUGAAUCACGGUGCUCCAGGUUCGACUCCUCGGCUCCCCAG